AUUGAACGCUGGCGGCAUGCCUUACACAUGCAAGUCGAACGGCAGCACGGGAGCAAUCCUGGUGGCGAGUGGCGAACGGGUGAGUAAUAUAUCGGAACGUGCCCAGUCGUGGGGGAUAACGUAGCGAAAGCUACGCUAAUACCGCAUACGAUCUAUGGAUGAAAGCGGGGGAUCGCAAGACCUCGCGCGAUUGGAGCGGCCGAUAUCAGAUUAGGUAGUUGGUGAGGUAAAGGCUCACCAAGCCGACGAUCUGUAGCUGGUCUGAGAGGACGACCAGCCACACUGGGACUGAGACACGGCCCAGACUCCUACGGGAGGCAGCAGUGGGGAAUUUUGGACAAUGGGCGAAAGCCUGAUCCAGCAAUGCCGCGUGAGUGAUGAAGGCCUC
rnacentral:rRNA from 1 species